UCCCGCCAGGACUUCCUAAUCUUUGCGUUGACACUCCGUUGCAGCUGCGUGAAAACUAAUGGACCCUCCCCAUUAAUCUUUAAAAGCUGGCUUGCAGUCACAUCAUCCCUAAGGAUGCUUGGGCUCCAGAAAAACUGAUCACUGAGGCCUACAGCAUUGUCUCCUGCAUGCUAAGAGGACCCAACUCCCACUUUGCUUCUCUACCCUCUGAUGGGAACAUCCCCCCAAAGAAACUAAAAAUAAACAAAAGCCAAGAAAGCAUUUGCAAGAACAUUUCAAGGAAAGAAGGAAUCUGUGCCCCAGCACUGGGACUGCCACAGCUGAAGAAGCUGAGGUAGAAAAUGACGAUGCUCUUUUAGGGCAAAAGACAGAAGAGCUGAUCAGCUUUUCCUUACCCUGCACAAAGUCGAACUGAGAAGAAAAAAGAAAGGGAUAUUUCAUCUUCCCCUCUGUUAUGUAUUGGGUUGUGUCCCCCUCAAAUUUAUAUGUUGAAGUCCUAAGCCCCUGGUGCCUCAGAAUGCGACCUUAUUUGGAAAAAGG